rnacentral:rRNA from 1 species
GUACGGGGGGGGGCAAGCGGUUGUUCGGAAUUACUGGGCGUAAAGGGGUUGUAGGCGGCCAACUAAGUCCGACGUGAAAUCCCAAGGCUUAACCUUGGAACUGCGUCGGAUACUGGAUGGCUUGAAUUCGGGAGAGGGAUGCAGAAUUCCAGGUGUAGCGGUGAAAUGCGUAGAUAUCUGGAGGAAUACCGGUGGCGAAGGCAGGUCUCUGGGCAUUAACUGACGCUGAGGAGCGAAAGCAUGGGGAGCGAACAGG